GGGGAUAUAACUCAGUGGUGGAGUGCUUGCCUUGCAUGCUCAAGGCCCUGAGAUCAAUUCCCAGUACCCUCC
rnacentral:tRNA from 1 species